UUUAGCCUACGGGGGGCAGCAGUGGGGAAUAUUGCACAAUGGGGGAAACCCUGAUGCAGCGACGCCGCGUGAGUGAAGAAGUAUUUCGGUAUGUAAAGCUCUAUCAGCAGGGAAGAUAAUGACGGUACCUGACUAAGAAGCCCCGGCUAACUACGUGCCAGCAGCCGCGGUAAUACGUAGGGAGCAAGCGUUAUCCGGAUUUACUGGGUGUAAAGGGCGUGUAGGCGGGCAUGCAAGCCAGAAGUGAAAUCUGGGGGCUUAACCCCCAAACUGCUUUUGGAACUGCGUGUCUUGAGUGAUGGAGG
rnacentral:rRNA from 1 species